rnacentral:rRNA from 1 species
AUUGAACGCUGGCGGCAGGCCUAACACAUGCAAGUCGAACGGUAACAGGAAGAAGCUUGCUUCUUUGCUGACGAGUGGCGGACGGGUGAGUAAUGUCUGGGAAACUGCCUGAUGGAGGGGGAUAACUACUGGAAACUGUAGCUAAUACCGCAUAACGUCGCAAGACCAAAGAGGGGGACCUUCGGGCCUCUUGCCAUCGGAUGUGCCCAGAUGGGAUUAGCUAGUAGGUGGGGUAACGGCUCACCUAGGCGACGAUCCCUAGCUGGUCUGAGAGGAUGACCAGCCACACUGGAACUGAGACACGGUCCAGACUCCUACGGGAGGCAGCAGUGGGGAAUAUUGCACAAUGGGCGCAAGCCUGAUGCAGCCAUGCCGCGUGUAUGAAGAAGGCCUUCGGGUUGUAAAGUACUUUCAGCGGGGAGGAAGGGAGUAAAGUUAAUACCUUUGCUCAUUGACGUUACCCGCAGAAGAAGCACCGGCUAACUCCGUG